UCAUACCUAAAACUGCCAGGGUAGUAAAAGACAUUCUUCAAACCCAAAGAAUUUGGCGGCACUUCAUUCUCUUCAGAGGAACCUGCCCCUUUAUCGACAAUCCACGCUUAAUCUUACCUUUUCUCACAGUUUGUAUACCGCCGUUGCCAGAUAAUUUUCUCAAAAUAUUAUCAAACCCAAUAAUUUUAAAGACUUCAGGUCAAGGUGCAGCCUAUGGAAAGGUGGAGGUGGGUUACAAUAAUUUUCAAUUAUACGGAUAGUCCUAUGCAAAAGGACUUGAAGGUGGAUUUGAUAGUAAAUCCCUCUUAGCAAAAGGGAUUGAAAUGAGCUCUGAAAUGUGC
rnacentral:rRNA from 1 species